rnacentral:rRNA from 1 species
CAGUCGAACGGUAGCACAGAGGAGCUUGCUCCUUGGGUGACGAGUGGCGGACGGGUGAGUAAUGUCUGGGAAACUGCCCGAUGGAGGGGGAUAACUACUGGAAACGGUAGCUAAUACCGCAUAACGUCGCAAGACCAAAGAGGGGGACCUUCGGGCCUCUUGCCAUCGGAUGUGCCCAGAUGGGAUUAGCUAGUAGGUGGGGUAACGGCUCACCUAGGCGACGAUCCCUAGCUGGUCUGAGAGGAUGACCAGCCACACUGGAACUGAGACACGGUCCAGACUCCUACGGGAGGCAGCAGUGGGGAAUAUUGCACAAUGGGCGCAAGCCUGAUGCAGCCAUGCCGCGUGUAUGAAGAAGGCCUUCGGGUUGUAAAGUACUUUCAGCGAGGAGGAAGGYGUUGUGGUUAAUAACCGCAGCAAUUGACGUUACUCGCAGAAGAAGCACCGGCUAACUCCGUGCCAGCAGCCGCGGUAAUACGGAGGGUGCAAGCGUUAAUCGGAAUUACUGGGCGUAAAGCGCACGCAGGCGGUCUGUCAAGUCGGAUGUGAAAUCCCCGGGCUCAACCUGGGAACUGCAUCCGAAACUGGCAGGCUAGAGUCUUGUAGAGGGGGGUAGAAUUCCAGGUGUAGCGGUGAAAUGCGUAGAGAUCUGGAGGAAUACCGGUGGCGAAGGCGGCCCCCUGGACAAAGACUGACGCUC